rnacentral:rRNA from 1 species
AUGCACGAGACCGGCCAAUACGCGCGACGUGGUCAGCGUGAGCACCGUGCACGGGCGCACCCCCCGCACGAGCCGUCUUCUGAUCCCGCGAGCACACGCCGCGAUCUCGACUCAAGCAAGGCAGCGAGACGAGACCAAACCAUGGCGGCCAACCACCACCUCCGCCGCCUCGCCUCCGCGUCCGCCCCUGCUCUCUCCCGCCUCUCCAAGCCCACUCCCUCGCCGCUCCUCCGCCCCGCGUUCUCCAGUUCCGCCUCUCCCGCGGGUCAGCCGGCGGCGGCGGCGGGGGCCGAUGCAGCCGAGAAGGGCGAGGCCCGGAGCGCCGUGAAGGAGGCGGGCGAGGCGCAGGGCGGCGAUGCUGGCGCGAGGAAGACGGGGGAGGAGGAGGAGGAUGACGGCGGCCUGGACAUAAACGAGGCCACGGGCGAGAUCGGCGGCCCGCACGGGCCGGAGCCCACCCGCUACGGCGACUGGGAGCGCGGCGGCCGCUGCUCCGACUUCUGA